GAUAAACGCUAGCGGCAGGCUUAACACAUGCAAGUCGAGGGGCAGCAUAGAUUGUAGCAAUACAAUUGGUGGCGACCGGCGCACGGGUGCGUAACGCGUAUGCAACCUACCCGUCGCAGGGGGAUAAUCCGGAGAAAUCUGGUCUAAUACCCCAUAACAUAUGGAUCGGCAUCGGUUCAUGUUGAAAUUUUCGGAGGUGACGGAUGGGCAUGCGUAGCAUUAGCUUGUUGGUGAGGUAACGGCUCACCAAGGCGACGAUGCUUAGGGGGACUGAGAGGUUUUCCCCCCACACUGGUACUGAGACACGGACCAGACUCCUACGGGAGGCAGCAGUGAGGAGUAUUGGUCAAUGGGCGCAAGCCUGAACCAGCCAUGCCGCGUGCAGGAUGACGGCUCUAUGAGUUGUAAACUGCUUUUGUACGAGGGCAAAGUGGGUUACGUGUAACCUUUUGAAAGUAUCGUACGAAUAAGGAUCGGCUAACUCCGUGCCAGCCGCCGCAGUAA
rnacentral:rRNA from 1 species